rnacentral:tRNA from 1 species
AGUGAUAUAACUCAACAGUAUAUAGAGUGUCACCUUGACGUGGUGGAAGUCAUUAGUUCAAGCCUAAUUAUCCCUA